GAAAAACCGAAAAUUCGGUAUUAUCCCACCGCCUCCCACGCACUCUGUUUCUUUCCAGAAACAGAGAGAGCGGUGGGGCGUGAGGAGAAGAAGGAGAGUGGUUGAAGAAAAGAAGAAGAAGAGGGAAAAGAAGAGAGGAGGAAGAAGAGAGGAAGAAGAGGGAGAAAAGAAGAAGAUGAAGAAGAAGAAGAAGAGGAGGUGGCUGCAGCGAGGGCUGCAGCGAGAAGCUGUGGGGCGUGGGGAGAAGAAGAGAGGAAGAAGAGGGAGAAGAGAAGAAGAAGAAGAAGAAGCAGAAGAAGAAGAAGAAGAAGAAGAAGAAGAAGAGAGGAUGAUAGCUGCGGCAAGGCUGCAGCGAGGAGGUGUGUGGGGUUGGGGAGGAAAAGGGAAGAGGAGAAGAAAAAAAGGAGAAGAAGAGGGAAAAGAGAGGGAAGAGGGAGAGGAGCGAGAGGUGGCAGCAGCUAGGGCUGCAGCACCUCUGUUUCCUGCAGGUGGAAACAGAGGAGAGGUGGGGCGUUCGAAGAGGAGAAGAAGAAGAAGAAGGAAGAGAAGAGGAAGAGGAAGCAGGAGAAGAGGUUGUGAUACCUUUGUUUCCUGCAAAGGAAACAGAGGAGAGGGUGUGUGUGACGUCGGGGAGAAGAAGGGGAGGAAGAAGAAGAAGAGAAGAAGAAGAAAGGAAGGAGAGGAAGAAGAGAAGGGAAAGGAGGAGCUGCGGCUGCGGCGGUGGCAGCUGCAGCUGGAAGAGAAGGAGAGGAAGAGAUGGUGAGGAAGAAGAGAAGAAGUAGAAGCGGGUGAAGAGGCGGCACCUCUGUUUCCUGCAGGAGGAAACAGAGGAAAGGAGGUGCUGUUCGUCGGGGAGAAGAAGGGGGCUGCAGCUGCGGCGAUGGCAGCUGCAGCUGGAAGAGAAGAAGAAGAGGAAGAUGAGCAGGGGAGGAGGGAGAGGUUGCGGCCGUGGCUGCGGCCGCGACUGCAGCAGUUGCAGCGGGGAGAGAAGAAGAAGAAAGGAAGGAGAAGGAAGAGGAGAAGGGAAAGAAGUAGCUGCGGCUGUGGUUGUGGCAGCUGCAGCUGUGGCAGGGAAAGAGGAAGAGAAAAAGGAAAGGAAGAAGAAGAGAAAGGGAAGGAGAGGAAGAAGAGAGGAAGAGGAGAAGGGGCUGCGGCUGCGGCGAUGGCAGCUGCAGCUGUGGCUGGGAAAGAAGAGAAGGAAAGGAAGAAGAAGAGAAAGGGAAGGAGAGGAAGAAGAGAGGAAGAGGAGAAGGGGUGGCAGCUGCGGCAGUGGCAGCUGCAGCUGGAAGAGGAGGAGGAAAUAGAGCAGGGGAGGAAGAAGAGGCUGCGAGUGUGGUGGCUGCGGCCGUGGCUGCGACUCCGGCUGCGGCUGCGACGUUGGCUGCGGUAGCUGCAGCAGCGGUGGUGGCUGCAGUAGCUGCAGUAGCUGCUUUUGGGAAAGAGAAAGAGUAGGAACGAGAGAAGGGAAGAAGGAAAUAGUGCAGUGGAAGGGGGCAGCGGUUGUGACCGUAGUUGCGAUUGUGGCAGCGGCAGCGGCGGCGGCUGUGGCAGCUGCGUUUGGGAAAGAAAAAGAAGGAAUGAGAGUAAGAGAGAGAGCAGGUGACUGUGCCUCGAUGUUCGACACGUGAUGUAGUUACGAAGAAAGGAAGAAAACGGGAGCACAAAACGAAACAGAGAGAGGACACGGAGGAAAAGUAGAAAGAUUGGACUGGCACCUUCCAUGGAUAUUCAGAUCAAAAUAUUUGAAAGGUCAGCUUGUCACUCUUCGAGAUGUUUGAUUUGGGCUGAGGCAGUGGAUAGCUAUUCAGAAUUAUGGGCAAGUCCUGUUGGUUGUUAUGCUAUUGUUGUAUAAGCAUAUUUUGUAUGUAAUGAAUUGUUCUGAUGAUCGAAAUGGAUAUACUGUGUAAAAGUGUUAGAAGAUCUCUCUUAUUUGGAAUUUCGGAAUGUUAAGUCUAAUUUAUGACGAUAUGAACUUGUGGUGUAUAGUUAGAGUUCUGAUUGUAUAAUUUAUUUAGCUUGUGGAUUUAUAAAUGUUGUUCAUGUUUGUCAAGUUGGCUUGGGUUGCCAUAAAUGUGAAUUAUCGAGUGAUGUGAUAUAUGAUUAUAAACUGCACAGGUUUUAUGGAUGUGAAUAUGAAUAGAAUGUUUUCAGUGUCCUCAAACGUUAGUUUGGAUCCUGGAUUGGUCUGUGACGAAAAUUUUAAAAAUCAUGGAUAUUUUGAGGGGCGUGACAGAGGUGGUAUCAGAGCAUUGUUUGAGGAUUACUGAAAUAUUUGAUAUGUUGACGUGCAAAAUAUAUUGAGGUCUAAUGAACUAUAGUGAUUGGUGGAAAUUUUCUUUGCUGCAUUUUAGGAAUCUGGGAUGAUGAGGACAUUUGGUCCUCCUAUAUCAUUUGUUUCUGAUUAAUUAAGGGGAAUGAAAGGAUUGAUUGGGGAUAUUGAAUCAGAGUGGCGCAGCAGAAGCAUGAUGAACCUAAUUUCAUUGGUGGUAGAAAAAUGGAUGAUGCAAAUGGAGAAGAUAUUUGAUAUACAAAAUUGUUCUGAUACUCGAAAGAUUUCUUUUGCCACGUUAUAUUGGAAGUAAAGACUUAUUAUUGACGGCAACAAUGAAAAGAAUUUUUGAAGAUCAAUGGCAAGAAUGAUAAGAACAAGUUUACCAAUAAAAAUAUGAUUGGAAAUGAAUCAGUAAGUAACAACAAGAGAGUCAAGACAUUUGGAUUUGAAAUGGGAAGUCACCACAAAAGACUCAAUCAGGUGUAAAUUGCAAGUUAAAUUAUGAAACAAGUUUAUGUUUGUGCGUGACUAGUGCCUAUUUUGCUUAUGGAAAGUUUGAUCAUAAAAUAAAAGUUUGCCCUUUGAACAAGAAGAAAGAGUCACUGCCUCCUAAAUCAUCAGCCUAUGUCAGAGUGUAUGCUAUCACUGAAUAUGAUUCUAAGACUUCUGAAUUAGUGGUCGAAGGUAUUAUGUAUGUUUAUGAAAGAAUGCAAAUAUUUGUUUGAACAUGGGUUCUAUCUACGAUUUGAUUCGUAACAUAUUGCCUAUCACUUGGGUAUUCAACCUAGACCACUGUAUUAUGUGAUAUAUGUAAGUACAAUCAUUGGAGAUUCUUUGAUAACGAACUUGAAUCUGGUCCUCUUGUCUGAUUUUUGUUGGAGAACUUGAACUUUUGCUGAUUUAGUUCUCCUAGAGAUUUGGAGUUAUGAUAUUAUACUUGGUAUGCAUUGGCUAUCUUCUUAUCAUACCAGUAUGGAUUGGUAUAUAACAAAUGAUCACUUUUUGCAUAUUUGAUCAGCCGAUCUUUUAUUUUGAGAGUAUUGGAUAUUAUUUAUCUCCUUGCCUAAUGUAUCCCAGGAUGACUUGCCUGGAUUACCUCCAAAUGUGAUUUUGCUUUUGAUUUGGUCCUUGGGACAAUCCCUAUAUCUAAGCCUCUCUACAGAAUGAUAUCAUUUGAGUAAGUGGAAUUAGAAAAACAACUACAAGGAUUAUUAAAUGAGGAUUUUAUUUGGCUUAAUAUUUUAUCAUGGGGUGCUCUGGUGUUAGUUAAAAAGAUGGAUGGAACAUGGAGGCUUUGUAUUGAUUAUGGAUAGUUGAAUCAGGUGAUCAUAAAAAACGAGUAUUUUCUGAAGUAACGAUUUGCUUGAUUAAUUACAGGUGCGCAAGUAUUUUUGAAAGAUUGAAUGAAGGUCGGGUUUACCAUCUAUUGAGAAUCAAGAAGGAGAAUAUUUCGGUCACUCUUGGAAAAUUGUGUAAUUGUAUUGAAUUGAUGAAAUUAUUUAAGAGUAGGAGGAGGAAAUAAAGAAAUCAUAAUCCUCAUCUUUUCAUCGAUUGAGCUAUGACCAAUUUGGAGGACUAAAUUUUCUUUUAAGGGGUGAGAGUGUAAUAUCCCCCAUUUUUAAAAAUGUAUUAAUAAGGAUUUAUAUGUAAAUUGGGGGACCUAUAUGUAAAUAUAGAAAUUACAAGGACUAAACUGCUAAGUUGCAAAAAGAAAAAAAAAAAGAAAAGGAAAAACCGAAAAUUCGGUAUUAUCCCACCGCCUCCCACGCCCCACAGAGAGAGCGGUGGGGCGUGAGGAGAAGAAGGAGAGUGGUUGAAGAAAAGAAGAAGAAGAGGGAAAAGAAGAGAGGAGGAAGAAGAGAGGAAGAAGAGAAGAAGAUGAAGAAGAAGAAGAAGAGGAGGUGGCUGCAGCGAGGGCAGCAGCGAGAAGCUAUGGGGCGUGGGGAGAAGAAGAGAGGAAGAAGAGGGAGAAGAGAAGAAGAAGAAGAAGAAGCAGAAGAAGAAGAAGAAGAAGAAGAAGAAGAAGAAGAAGAAGAAGAGAGGAUGAUAGCUACGGCAAGGCUGCAGCGAGGAGGUGUGUGGGGUUGGGGAGGAAAAGGGAAGAGGAGAAGAAAAGAAGGAGAAGAAGAGGGAAAAGAGAGGGAAGAGGGAGAGGAGCGAGAGGUGGCAGCAGCUAGGGCUGCAGCACCUCUGUUUCCUGCAGGUGGAAACAGAGGAGAGGUGGGGCGUUCGAAGAGGAGAAGAAGAAGAAGAAGGAAGAGAAGAGGAAGAGGAAGCAGGAGAAGAGGUUGUGAUACCUCUGUUUCCUGCAGAGGAAACAGAGGAGAGGGUGUGUGUGACGUCGGGGAGAAGAAGGGGAGGAAGAAGAAGAAGAGAAGAAGAAGAAAGGAAGGAGAGGAAGAAGAGAAGGGAAAGGAGGAGCUGCGGCUGCGGCGGUGGCAGCUGCAGCUGGAAGAGAAGGAGAGGAAGAGAUGGUGAGGAAGAAGAGAAGAAGUAGAAGCGGGUGAAGAGGCGGCACCUCUGUUUCCUGCAGGAGGAAACAGAGGAAAGGAGGUGCUGUUCGUCGGGGAGAAGAAGGGGGCUGCAGCUGCGGCGAUGGCAGCUGCAGCUGGAAGAGAAGAAGAAGAGGAAGAUGAGCAGGGGAGGAGGGAGAGGUUGCGGCCGUGGCUGCGGCCGCGACUGCAGCAGUUGCAGCGGGGAGAGAAGAAGAAGAAAGGAAGGAGAAGGAAGAGGAGAAGGGAAAGAAGUAGCUGCGGCUGCGGUUGUGGCAGCUGCAGCUGUGGCAGGGAAAGAGGAAGAGAAAAAGGAAAGGAAGAAGAAGAGAAAGGGAAGGAGAGGAAGAAGAGAGGAAGAGGAGAAGGGGCUGCGGCUGCGGCGAUGGCAGCUGCAGCUGUGGCUGGGAAAGAAGAGAAGGAAAGGAAGAAGAAGAGAAAGGGAAGGAGAGGAAGAAGAGAGGAAGAGGAGAAGGGGUGGCAGCUGCGGCAGUGGCAGCUGCAGCUGGAAUAGGAGGAGGAAAUAGAGCAGGGGAGGAAGAAGAGGCUGCGAGUGUGGUGGCUGCGGCCGUGGUUGCGACUCCGGCUGCGGCUGCGACGUUGGCUGCGGUAGCUGCGGCAGCGGUGGUGGCUGCAGUAGCUGCAGUAGCUGCUUUUGGGAAAGAGAAAGAGUAGGAACGAGAGAAGGGAAGAAGGAAAUAGUGCAGUGGAAGGGGGCUGCGGUUGUGACCGCAGUUGCGAUUGUGGCAGCGGCAGCGGCGGCGGCUGUGGCAGCUGCGUUUGGGAAAGAAAAAGAAGGAAUGAGAGUAAGAGAGAGAGCAGGUGACUGUGCCUCGAUGUUCGACACGUGAUGUAGUUACGAAGAAAGGAAGAAAACGGGAGCACAAAACGAAACAGAGAGAGGACACGGAGGAAAAGUAGAAAGAUUGGACUGGCACCUUCCUUGGAUAUUCAGAUCAAAAUAUUUGAAAGGCAAGUUCCCUGAUCGUUUCUCCUAUAAUUGCUCUGAUAUUUCUUAUUUCAAGUUCCCUGAUCGUUUCUCCUAUAAUUGCUCUGAUAUUUCUUAUUUCAAGUUCCCUGAUCGUUUCUCCUAUAAUUGCUCUAACUUUUCUUAUUGCAAGUUUCCCGAUCGUUCCGCCUGUAAUUGUUCUAAUCUUUCCUAUUGCAAGUAUCCUGAUCGUUCCUCACUACAAUUUUAUCUCUACAUUUGCUUUGAAUAUGAGGAACUUUGAAUUGUUCUAGCCUUGCAUUUGAUAUAUCUCCUGUUUAGACGUAACGAUUUGAAUCUGUGCAACUUCUGAUAUUCUGACCUUUUGAUACCGAGCUGCCUAUAAGUCUUUGUUGGAAACUCUGAUUUGUUCAAAACUGAUUUCAUUGGAAAAUAGACUCGUAGACCUUUCUUUGAUAUAUGGAUUGAAAGAUUUGGAAUCCAAACACCUGUCCAGCUAUCUGUUGAAUCUGACAUUAGGAAUUCUGCCAACAGAGAUUUUGUUCUACGACACUUGCUUACCAAAUUAUUUGUAACUCUCUCUGUUGGACAGUUCAAUUCAUAUGAAGCAUGUCUUAUCUGAAAGUAUUAUCCAGUGAUUAUUUCUGAGUAAA